rnacentral:lncRNA from 10 species
AGAACAGCACGUAGCAGGCCCCUGUGGAGGAUUAACACAGUGGCUGAACACCGGGAAGGAACUGGCACUUGGAGUCCGGACAUCUGAAACUUGAUCUAGAGAACACAUGCAAUUUUGUUACAUGGGAAUACUGUGUUGUGCUGAGGUCUGGAGUAUGGAUCCCUUCACCCAGAAUUGACAAGCCGACAUCAGUCUCCAGAGUGAAUCCAAGGAGUGGACCCAAGACAUUUGUGUUCUGUGAUGUGGUGGCAUGUUACCUGUCAUCUCCGAUGCAUAACUCCUAAAGUGCGUCUGGGGCAGUUGUACAGAUUGCAGAGGAUAAUACUCAAGAUGUUCUCCAAGGCCAACUAGUCAUCAGUUUAUUCAUGUUUCUGGGAUUGGAUUCAUGAACUCAUCCUUUGAACUAUUUCAACAAGCUUUUUCAUGUAACUAAUCUGCGGAAGGUAGAAAGGGGAAAACUGUUGGGUGCUAAAAUGACAACUGGUUCAAGGUACAAUGGCGAAUAUUUUUAUUUCUGCAACUUUUCUUAGAGGUUGGAAACUGGACUGGGCAGGAAGAUUCCUUUUUGUAAGAUUAGUCUCCAGUUUUCAUCAAGCAGUUUAGUGGGGUAUUUUAGGCCCAGUUCCCUCUCCACAGUCCCCAAAGGUCUUCUGUUAACUUUAAAUCCGCAAAGAGAGAGAUCUCUGCCAAGCAGCAACUGCAAGAGCAUGUGGGUCAAUGUUACCAGCAGACACUCAAAGCCCAUUCCCUUUACUUCAACACCGCUUUAUAAAUUAUCUUAGAGACGUUGUCAGGUUGGUAUUAGAGGUGAGUGGUCAUGACUUCACGAUUUCUCAUCUUUCUGAAUGCAUAGUGGCUGGGAGUGGUGGCUCAUGCCUGUAAUCCCAGCAGUUUGGGAGGCCGAGGUGGGCAGAUU